UACGUAGGGUGCAAGCGUUAAUCGGAAUUACUGGGCGUAAAGCGUGCGCAGGCGGUUAUGCAAGACAGAGGUGAAAUCCCCGGGCUCAACCUGGGAACUGCCUUUGUGACUGCAUAGCUAGAGUACGGUAGAGGGGGAUGGAAUUCCGCGUGUAGCAGUGAAAUGCGUAGAUAUGCGGAGGAACACCGAUGGCGAAGGCAAUCCCCGUGGACCUGUACUGACGCUCAUGCACGAAAGCGUGGGGAGCAAACAGG
rnacentral:rRNA from 1 species